rnacentral:rRNA from 1 species
AUACGGAGGAUCCGAGCGUUAUCCAGAUUUAUUGGGUUUAAAGGGUGCGCAGGCGGCCAUUUAAGUCAGCGGUUAAAUCGUGGGGCUCAACCCCAUUCUGCCGUUGAUACUGGGUGGCUUGAUUGCGGUCGAGGUUGGCGGAAUUCGUUGUGUAGCGGUGAAAUGCAUAGAUAUGACGAAGAACACCGAUUGCGUAGGCAGCUGACCGGACCGCAAAUGACGCUCAUGCACGAAAGUGCGGGGAUCGAACAGGAUUAGAUACCCUGGUAGUCCGCACAGUAAACGAUGAAUACUUGUUUUCGGCGAUAUAAUGUCGGAGGCAAAGCGAAAGCGAUAAGUAUUCCACCUGGGGAGUACGCCGGCAACGGUGAAACUCAAAUGAAUUGACGGGG